UACAGAGGGGGCAAGCGUUAUUCGGAAUUAUUGGGCGUAAAGGGCGCGCAGGCGGCCGAGCAAGUCGAGUGUGAAAGCCCCGGGCUUAACUUGGGAAUUGCGCUCGAAACUACUUGGCUGGAGUGUGGCAGAGGAAGGUGGAAUUCCAGGUGUAGCGGUGAAAUGCGUAGAGAUCUGGAGGAACACCGAUGGCGAAGGCAGCCUUCUGGGCCAACACUGACGCUCAUGCACGAAAGCGUGGGGAGCAAACAGG
rnacentral:rRNA from 1 species